rnacentral:rRNA from 1 species
UACGUAGGGUGCGAGCGUUAAUCGGAAUUACUGGGCGUAAAGCGUGCGCAGGCGGUUUUGUAAGCCAGAUGUGAAAUCCCCGGGCUUAACCUGGGAAUGGCAUUUGGGACUGCAAGGCUUGAGUGCGGCAGAGGAGACUGGAAUUCCUGGUGUAGCAGUGAAAUGCGCAGAUAUCAGGAGGAACACCAAUAGCGAAGGCAGCUCGCUGGGACGUUACUGACACUGAGGCGCGAAAGCGUGGGGAGCGAACAGG